UGGGGAAUUUUCCGCAAUGGGCGCAAGCCUGACGGAGCAACGCCGCGUGAGGGAGGAAGGCCUGUGGGUCGUAAACCUCUUUUCUCAGGGAAGAAUUUGUGACGGUACCUGAGGAAUCAGCAUCGGCUAACUCCGUGCCAGCAGCCGCGGUAAGACGGAGGAUGCAAGCGUUAUCCGGAAUUAUUGGGCGUAAAGCGUCCGUAGGUGGUUGUAAAAGUCUGCUGUUAAAGACCACAGCUCAACUGUGGGAUGGCAGUGGAAACUAUAUGACUAGAGAGUGGUAGGGGUAGAGGGAAUUCCUAGUGUAGCGGUGAAAUGCGUAGAUAUUAGGAAGAACACCAGUGGCGAAGGCGCUCUACUGGGCCAUUACUGACACUGAUGGACGAAAGCUAGGGGAGCGAAAGGGAUUAGAUACCCCCGUAGUCC
rnacentral:rRNA from 1 species